rnacentral:rRNA from 1 species
GACGAACGCUGGCGGCGUGCCUAAUACAUGCGAGUUGAGCGCUGAAGGUUGGUACUUGUACCAACUGGAUGAGCAGCGAACGGGUGAGUAACGCGUGGGGAAUCUGCCUUUGAGCGGGGGACAACAUUUGGAAACGAAUGCUAAUACCGCAUAAAAACUUUAAACACAAGUUUUAAGUUUGAAAGAUGCAAUUGCAUCACUCAAAGAUGAUCCCGCGUUGUAUUAGCUAGUUGGUGAGGUAAAGGCUCACCAAGGCGAUGAUACAUAGCCGACCUGAGAGGGUGAUCGGCCACAUUGGGACUGAGACACGGCCCAAACUCCUGCGGGAGGCAGCAGUAGGGAAUCUUCGGCAAUGGACGAAAGUCUGACAGAGCAACGCCGCGUGAGUGAAGGAGGUUUUCGGAUCGUAAAACUCUGCUGGUAGAGAAGAACGUUGGUGAGAGUGGAAAGCUCAUCAAGUGACGGUAACUACACAGAAAGGGACGGCUAACUACGUG